GACCUGCUGUUGCAGUUUCAGGACCUGUUCGAGCCAGGCCUGGGAACCAUCAAGGGGCCACCGGUUCAAGGAGACUCCUGGGACCUUGGAGCACCGGUGUGGGUCCGCAACUUCGGCCAAGGUGAAAGAUGGUCACCGGGGACCGUCCAGAACAAGCUCGGGUCAAGGAUGCUGGUCAUCGAGACUCCGGAGGGAACAGUCCGUCGACACAUGGACCAGGUCCGCGGCAGACAAGGUCCGACUGAAAGUCUGGGUGGCCCUAAAAACGGUUCGGACAACGUCGGGCCGCCAGUGACACUAGGACAGCCGGACAGCCAGGGGCCACCGAGCGAGCAAGACGUGCCAGCCCCCGACGGUCAAGACCAACCAGCCUUACGACGCUCAACGCGGACACGGAAACCGAUCGAUCGUUUGCAAUAUUAAGAGAAAAAGAAAUGUUGCGUUGUCAUUGUUUACAUCCUGUCUAUUCGCUGUUAUCAAGCCGAUAGCAGUUUCCCAGUUGACUUCACUAGUCGUGGCGUUCCCUAUAUAUCUGUGUUCGAAGCAAUAAAGGGGGCGUUGUCCCAUACUGGCUACCACCGGAGCGUGUCAUACUCGCGUCGCGCCUGGCCGAACGGCGGAUGGCAGCUA
rnacentral:misc_RNA from 1 species